CAGCAGGCUCCGCUGUGGCUUGGGCGCCUCAGGAACUGCACUGGCGCCUACUCGGAAGCCCCGGGGGCCCUCGGGUCAGGCUGCGCUUCCCUCCGAGGCCCGCUGGGGCCGCGAGCUCGCCGAGGCUCCACGUGCGCGUCUCCCCGCACACCACCCGCGCGCACGCCAGCCCGCGCGCACGCCCCCGCCCGCGCGCCCGCCCGCGCCUUCGCGGAGGGAUCUGGGAGUGAAGCUUCGGCAUGGGCCUGGGUCGCUUAGAUGGAUGAUGUAGCUGCUCCAGAUCGUACUUGCACUCCUGUUUACUAGGAAAAAAAAAAUGUAUGUGAGAUCUGAAGGAGAGAUAGUGAAGAAUUCUCGCUAGAGUAAUGUCAAAACUGGCUUUGCAGGAGGCAUGCUGGGCAGAAAAAGGGUUGGGAAGAAAAGCACUGACCAGAUGAAAGCAGUGGGGAUGGAGAACAGAAGGUGGUUCAAAGCAAGCACAGUAACAAUCAGGACGGAUGGUAAGGAAGUUGGUCCUUACUGCCGGAAUCCUCUACCCGUGGCUACCUUGCACAGUGUGGAGAGUAUUUGGGGUGACAGGAACAUGCUGCACAUACAAAGGUUUGUACCACAGAAGAACCUCCAAAUUAUGAAUCUUGGAGCAUCUCCGUUGUAAAAUCCUUUUAAAGUAUAAAUGGUCUCUUGGGACAGACAAAACGUCAGACAAAUUCUUUCUGGGGUUCAGAUGGAUUGUGGAAUGACCACCCGGAAGAGAAACAAGUCCCACUUUUAAUCAGGUUUGAUCCUGAAUUGUCAAAUGACCUGUGGCUCUAAAAUAAGGACCUCCACUGAGGCAAAAGAAAUGGAUUCAUCAAACCCCAUUCAUCAGGAGGUAUGAGGCACCAAAGACACUGUGGGCAAGCAUCC